rnacentral:rRNA from 1 species
UACAGAGGUCUCAAGCGUUGUUCGGAUUCAUUGGGCGUAAAGGGUGUGUAGGUGGCGCCGUUAGUCGGGUGUGAAAUUUCGGAGCUUAACUCCGAAACUGCAUUCGAUACUGCGGUGCUUGAGGACUGGAGAGGAGACUGGAAUUUACGGUGUAGCGGUGAAAUGCGUAGAUAUCGUAAGGAAGACCAGUGGCGAAGGCGGGUCUCUGGACAGUUCCUGACGCUGAGGCACGAAGGCCAGGGGAGCAAACGGG